AACGAACGCUGGCGGCAGGCUUAACACAUGCAAGUCGAACGCACCUUUCGGGGUGAGUGGCAGACGGGUGAGUAACGCGUGGGAAUCUACCCUUCUCUACGGGAUAGCUCCGGGAAACUGGAAUUAAUACCGUAUACGUCCUGAGGGAGAAAGAUUUAUCGGGGAAGGAUGAGCCCGCGUUGGAUUAGCUAGUUGGUGGGGUAAAGGCCUACCAAGGCGACGAUCCAUAGCCGGUCUAAGAGGAUGAUCAGCCACAUUGGGACUGAGACACGGCCCAAACUCCUACGGGAGGCAGCAGUGGGGAAUAUUGGACAAUGGGCGCAAGCCUGAUCCAGCCAUGCCGCGUGAGUGAUGAAGGCCCUAGGGUUGUAAAGCUCUUUCAGUGGGGACGAUAAUGACGGUACCCACAGAAGAAGCCCCGGCUAACUUCGUG
rnacentral:rRNA from 1 species